CGUAGGGGGCUAGCGUUGUCCGGAAUCAUUGGGCGUAAAGCGCGUGUAGGCGGCCCGGUAAGUCCGCUGUGAAAGUCGGGGGCUCAACCCUCGAAAGCCGGUGGAUACUGUCGGGCUCGAGUGCGGAAGAGGCGAGUGGAAUUCCUGGUGUAGCGGUGAAAUGCGCAGAUAUCAGGAGGAACACCGAUUGCGAAGGCAGCUCGCUGGGACGUUACUGACGCUGAGACGCGAAAGCGUGGGGAGCAAACAGGAUUAGAUACCCUGGUAGUCCACGCUGUAAACGAUGGGCACUAGGUGUGGGGGGUAUCGACUCCCUCCGUGCCGAAGCUAACGCAUUAAGUGCCCCGCCUGGGGAGUACGGCCGCAAGGCUA
rnacentral:rRNA from 1 species